AUACGUAGGGAGCGAGCGUUGUCCGGAAUUACUGGGUGUAAAGGGAGCGUAGGCGGGAGUGCAAGUCAGAUGUGAAAUGCAUGGGCUUAACCCAUGAGCUGCAUUUGAAACUGCAUUUCUUGAGUGAAGUAGAGGUAAGCGGAAUUCCUGGUGUAGCGGUGAAAUGCGUAGAUAUCAGGAGGAACACCGGUGGCGAAGGCGGCUUACUGGGCUUUUACUGACGCUGAGGCUCGAAAGCGUGGGGAGCAAACAGGAUUAGAUACCCUGGUAGUCCACGUUGUAAACGAUGAUUACUAGGUGUGGGGGGACUGACCCCUUCCGUGCCGCAGUUAACACAAUAAGUAAUCCACCUGGGGAGUACGGCCGCAAGGUUGAAACUCAAAUGAAUUGACGGGG
rnacentral:rRNA from 1 species